GAUAAACGCUGGCGGCGUGCCUAACACAUGCAAGUCGAACGCCCUACGCAAGUAGGGAGUGGCGGACGGGUGAGGAACACGUGGGUUAUCUGCCUUGAGGUGAGGAAUACCGGCGAGAAAUCGCCGACAAUACCGCAUACGUUCGUAAGAACAAAGUCGCAAGACGCCCCAAGAUGAGCCUGCGUCCGAUUAGCUAGUUGGUGGGGUAAAAGGACCUACCAAGGCAGCGAUCGGUAGCUGGUC
rnacentral:rRNA from 1 species